rnacentral:rRNA from 1 species
UGCCAGCAGCCGCGGUAAUACGGAGGGAGCGAGCGUUAAUCGGAAUUACUGGGCGUAAAGCGCGCGUAGGCGGCUUUGUAAGUCGGAUGUGAAAGCCCCGGGCUCAACCUGGGAAUUGCAUUCGAUACUGCAGAGCUAGAGUAUGGUAGAGGGAAGUGGAAUUUCAAGUGUAGCGGUGAAAUGCGUAGAUAUUUGAAGGAACACCAGUGGCGAAGGCGACUUCCUGGGCCAAUACUGACGCUGAGGUGCGAAAGCGUGGGGAGCGAACAGGAUUAGAUA